UUACAAUUCAAUUUUAUUCUUUCUUCUUCUUCUUCUUCUUCUUCUUCUUCUUCUCAUCAGAAAAAACAAUUAUCUCAAAACUCUUCUCAGCUAUCUUUUCAGAUAAGAGAGAACUCUUUUCUUUUUUUAUCAGAUUCAUUUAUAUUUUAAAGUUGUGUAUUUUUUAAUCUGCUGUUUUAGAUUCUAUCUCUGCAGCAAGCAGAUUAGCAUAUUCAGAAAGUAAUACUGUCUUCUUAAUAUUUUGAAUUAUUGAGUGUAUAUAAAAUCUAAAUAAGACUCUGAUUCUCUGAUUUCUUUCAGAAGUCUGCUAAUCAAUU
rnacentral:sRNA from 2 species